GACGGAGGGUGCAAGCGUUGUUCGGAAUUACUGGGCGUAAAGGGCGCGUAGGCGGCCUACUAAGUCGGACGUGAAAUCCCUCGGCUCAACCGGGGAACUGCGUCCGAUACUGGUGGGCUCGAAUCCGGGAGAGGGAUGUGGAAUUCCAGGUGUAGCGGUGAAAUGCGUAGAUAUCUGGAGGAACACCGGUGGCGAAGGCGGCAUCCUGGACCGGUAUUGACGCUGAUGCGCGAAAGCCAGGGGAGCAAACGGG
rnacentral:rRNA from 1 species